UAAUAAUAAUAAAGAAGAAGAAAAUAGUUCCAAGCUAAUUGUAGGGUGGUUCCUAUCUGCUUGGACUGCUACGUAUUGUUUUCUGCUUUCUCUUGGGUGCAACUUCUUAAGUUUCUCCGGUUUGUUAUGCUCCUUCCAGCAACUUUUAGUUCUUGGACUGGGAGCAGCAAUGAACGUUGCUGUAAAUGAUCAUUAAAGGGCAUUGUUUUGCAGUUAUUAGCAAAUGAAAGAAGAGGAUGAAUAUCAGGUACCAUGUAAACUAGCUAGACCGUGAUGCUAUACCGUUCACAGGGUUUUUUUCCUCCCUUGCUAAUAACUACUUAUAUGAACAUUUCAUUUUUAUAUCUAAGCAUUCCAAAGAUUUUCAACAUUGGUGUUUGAAAAGGCGACUUUUUAUUCAGAGAAGAACACUUGCGGGAAAUAGAUGGAAACAAAUCAUUGCAUCAAUGUCAGUUUCCUUGCAUAUUUUUACUUUAACAUGAAAAUCAACAUAGUUUUUAAUGCUUCCUCACAGCAGUUCAGUGAGAUAGGGGAAAGUUUAUACAUUUCCAUGAUCAUGUGAGCUUGUUGAGGAAUGUUGAUGCAGUUGCAAUGGCAUCCCCAGCAA